rnacentral:lncRNA from 1 species
GUUGUUUUUUAAUGGCACCGACUUCUCAUUUCUAACUGGAGUAGCAUGCAGUUUCUUGGCCGGUUUUUGAACCGGGGUCCCUAAACCUGGCGAUUUUUCUUAACCUCAUUUGGUCAUCUAACUGUGGAGAUGUCUAAUGAGAGGCAUUCAGAAAUGCUUCCCAAACGGGUCCAGCAAACUGCAUUAUGCUGUAUUAUGAGCCGGUAUUUACCAUCUGGCCCAAUCACAGUAACAAGCUGAGCACUUCUGAAUAAAAGACAUUUUUCCUCAAAAUUUAUACUGCCUCCAGUGCCAGUAUUCUCUAUGGACCCUGAGCACAUAAUUAUUUCAUGGGGUAUCCUGCACAUAGAUCCAAGCAGAUGCCGGGACAUCCUGCAGAAGUACCCACUGAGGGUUUAGGCUUUCCAAGGCACACAGGUAAGACAAGCAGUCUUGCUAUCUCCUUGCUGCCUUCUUAUUGCUGUCUCCUUGCUUCCUGCCUGAAGUAAUUAAAAUCUCUUCUCACAGGUGCACUUUGCAUCCUGAUCCUAGUCUGCUCUUUGAUAUUGCUUCCAGUUUGAUCAGUUUUAUAAACCAAUUAGCCACGGGCUUCCCCCCAGAGGGCCAUUAAUUGCUGACUACCUCAGAGCCGCUGGACCAUGACUGUAUUUAUUUAGAUUUUUACAAGAUGUGCAGUCCCACUCUCCAACAAUUUGUGACGUCUGAGACUGCUGGAGUCCUAAGAACCACAAAUGCCCCAAACCCAGGAGCCCCCCCACCUCUCCCACCCUCUCUGCCAAUUAUCUCUUUUAGUCUCAAUACUUCUGUUGAUCACUGUCUGAAAUUGAAAUGUGUACAAAAAGAAUGAACUUCCAUCUCAGUCCUUGGAAACAGUGGGGGGGAGAGAAGGAAAGAAUGUGAUGAUGCUCAGAAAUGACCCUGAGAGUUCAGGAAGCAUCUCAUUAUCCCAGGCUGAAAUGAGGUUGCUAUGAACUGGGGCUUUGGGAGUAAAUUAAGAAAGGGUAAAGGUGGCCCCAGGCUAGUGGGAUACUGAGAAGGUCAGGGCAGAGCAGGGACCUCAGGCUUUGUCUCAAAUUUGCAUGCACAAACCCUAUAGCAAGACACCUUAUUUUAAAAGGUGAUGGCUGAAACCAGCAGCCCAGGAAAUAUAUGUCUGGAUCUGGCUGGAGGUUAUUUCUUUAUGUUAACAAAUGUGCGUUUUCUCCCAUACAUGGGAAUGCACAACCUUGGAGCCUCACUUCACAGCUCCUUUACCAAAAGGGAUACCGCUAAGUCAUAACAGCACCUAUGCACAGAAACAUCUGUGUGAGCCCCAGACUUGGCUGCGUUCUUCUCGUCCUAAUUUCUGCUCUGUUCUACACCUCUGGACUGUGCCUGCAGUGUGGAUUUUCAAAUGACUUGAAGUGUUAUUAAAACAGGGUUUGUAAGGAAAGAAACAGCUUCCGCAGGCUUAGAAAUACAGCAUCAGCAAAAGAAAGCUAUGUCUAUCAGCAGCAGAACUGUACGUGUGAAGUGAUUUCUUGUAAAUAUGUCUCUGCCACAAGACAAAGCACUUCCAUUUGGUACAUUUGAUACAUUUCAGCUUUCUUAGGGCUUCUGGGUUCUUGUCCAGCGUUUCUACUGGCUGGCUUAAAAAGAUAAACAUACUUAUUUAAAUAUAAAAUCAUACCAUUAUGAAUAUUAACAAAAUUAAUCUAAAAUAUUAUUAUAGUAUUAUAAUGGUGUAUUAUAAGAUUGUUACAGUAUAUAACAUAAUUAUAAAAUUGGUUGAAACGUGGGCAUGUUUUGAAUAACUCUGCCUACUUCUGUCCAUGAACAUGGGCUCAGCCUUUCCUCUUCUGCUGUAAAGAAUGUACACAAACAAGAAGUAAACACAACUUUUCUGCUCAUCUGAGUCCCUGUACCUGAGCAUGAAUGAUCUGAGGGAUUAAGAACGUGGGGAGAAGAGCCUGAGUUGAGCUGAAGAGCAUGCAGGUGAGAGGACUUCUACAGGUAAGAUGCUUUCUAGAGACUUGGGCAACACUUUGGGAAGUUUGCAAGGAAGCUGUGGCUUUGUAUUAGUUCUGUUGGGUAUUCACAGUCUGAGAAAUUACAGGAGGGUAGUGAAAACUACCAUGUCACCAAGUGUGAUAACCUCUACAGACAAUGUGCAACCAACCUCAGUGACAGGAGUAGUGCGUUCCAUAGGGCGUAGGAGGCCUGUUCUACUUGUGAAGGUAAAACAUGAGUUUGUCAGAGAGCAAUAACUUCUGACCAGCUUCUUUUAGGUAUUCCAGAUUAGGAAUGCUUUGUAUUUAAUAUGAAAUUUACUUAGUUAUGGGUAUUUGACAUUGCAUGGGAGUUUGAUUUACCAGAAUAUACAAAAAUGACAACGCAAACACAAUGUAACGGCUGCAACAUACAGCUGGAUUGCAGUGGUUGAAUCCAGACCACUGAUUUCCUCACAGUUCAUUUUGUUGGCUGCUUAAUUUUCAGAUUGUGUUGGGCUGAGCCACAAAUACCCUUCCCCCAAGAUGCUCUGUUGGGCUCAGAAAGAUAGUACUCAAUGGAUUAUUUUAGAGGGAACCACUUAUAAAACUAGGUGAUCCACUCAGCUGUUGUAGCUAUCUGUCUAAAACAAAGGCCACUCUUCAGUCCCCUUCAUGUUGAGUUAGGUUCAGCUUCAGUUAUGACAGCUGUGGUUAUUUCCAAUAUGUAUUUGUGAGCUCCAUGGUCACAUCCUCCUUGCCCAUCUUCUCUGAGCCUUCCUCCACUAGAGAGAUCCACUUUCUACCCACAGAAGUCCCCAUGCUGUAAAGCAGGCAGAAGUUCCACGUGUUAGGUGGGCAAUUAAAUCCAUAUGGAAAUAAUUCCUGUUGGAACAGAGGCAGCACCCAGAGCUGUGUGUUUGAGAGGCUGGGGGAAGCACUGCUCAGCUCGCCGGCUUCGCUUCUGUAAACGGUGUUGCACAUGGCAUGGCUGAAGUCCCUGCCAUCCCAAUAACGGUGCCUAGCAUUUUUGUUAUGGCUGGUCAUCCCUCUGGGGUUUGUAAGCCAUCUACCCAGCUAGAGACCAUACAUGGUUAAGAUUUAUGUAUAUUUAUUGCCGAUGGCCUAUUCGCUAGCUCUGCAGGACUGUGCACGCAACACGGGGCACCCAGAGCUCGUUUAUCCCAGGGCAGGGAGGAGCGGAGAGAAAAAAUGAAGAUUAAACGAGUGAGACCAUUAUUAACAAUCGCUUUUUACAGCAUUCUUUUGAAUGAAUACCUUUUUACAACAUAUUUUUCUCCUAAAUGAUGUGUUCAGGCAGAGGCCCAGCGUUGUAAAAAGACACAUAAUUGGCACUCGGACAGGUCUGAGUUAUUGCCUGGUUGGUGUAAUUUUACACCUGUCACUGCCCAUAUAUUUAGAAACAGUGAAAAAAGCAGGCCCAGGGUCGUUUCCCUGCUGGUUGUGCUCAGGCUAAUGUGCUCACUGAGUCCAUAGCAGGCCUUUGUGCAGAAAAGUGCACAGGGAAAUGAGGUCUGAAAAAUACCGGAGAAUGCCCAGAGAAGUUGUGCACGCACCCUCCUUGAAUGUGCUCAAGGCCGGGUUGGAUGGGGCCCUGGGCAGCCUGAGCUGGGGAGCGGCAGCCCUGCCAUGGCAGGGGGUGGGAAAUGGAUGACCUUUAAGUUCCCCUUCAACCCAAGUCAUUCAUUGAUUCCCCAAGAGCACCUGGCACUGCUUUCCCUUUGCGUCUCGCCAUAGUAGUCAUGCCAGUGGCUGGAGGUGAUGCCACUGUGUACCUUCUCACAAUGGGUUGGGUACCUUCUAUGGGAACAUUUUUAGGCAGCGUUGUUUUUAUUUUCCUGGGAUUUUCUGAAGUUACCCAGCCUGUGGCCUCAGCUGCAUUCCCUGGGCUUAAAAUAUGCAAAUGUAAGAAUAGAAAUCCAGCGGUUCUGCCAGCCAAGGCUGCCCAAACAUCAGUAGUGCUGGGUACACAGGCUCCAGGGCAGGGAGAGCCACAGUUCUGCAGCCUGUGUGACAGCAGAAAGGCCUCAGGAUGGGGCUGCUGGGGCGGGGGCUGCUGGGUGUCAGUGGGAAGGGAUCAGCACCGCAUGGGGCCGGGAGCGUCCCUGGGAUGGAUGAACUCACAUCAGGGCUUUCCUGUGCAGUGCCCCGGCAGCCAUCGGCAGGUGUCUUGACCUGGGGCCUGGGGCUAAGGAAGGCAGAGCAGCUGGAGGUUCUGCUCAUGAGCCCACUGUGCAAAUUUCAUCCCUACUGUGGAAACGUUUAUCCAGUUCCCAGGGCCUGAGCAGAGGGGCUGCAGCACUGCCACCAGCACAGCUCUGCAGAUCUUUCCUGAGGAGAUUCAUACAACAGCAACUGGACUGGUUGCAUUACUGGGGGGAAACUGUAGUCAACAGUUGUUGCAAUGCUGGAGGAACACUGGCCCUUCUGGCUGUAGAAGAGACACACCGUUGGUCAAUCACACCUAAUGACUCUGAUUUAAUGUUGUGAUAUUUGGUACAAUAAUUUACUUUGCAUACUUUUUCCUCUCCUUUUCUGUGAGUCAGUAAUACUAUUUACUAUGAUCUCUAGAGGUCCUUUCCAACUCCUACAAUUCUGUGAUUCUGGGAUUCACUUCGCAUUUUCCAGGGUAUUUUUGUUUCUGCAGUGCUGAGAGCAAGAAAAUUGUCUUGUGAACUGACAUUUGUAUUUCUUGUGUGUCCAGAAGGCAGAUCUCUCAGGACAGCCAUAAUGGCAGACCCUUGAGGCAGCAGAGGCUGGCAGCAGUUCCCUGCAGCCGGGGAGUCUCAGUGCUCAAUGGGAACAGCUCUGCACAUUGCAUUUGGGUCCCUCCUCUGCUUAAACUCUUUAAUUUCCUGUGGCCGUAAGCACCGUAAGGAAGGUCUCGCUGCCCCAGGCUGGCCACCAUUACCUUUGAGUUAGAUUAUAUUCACACCUGUGAUAAAUAUUAACGACACAGUUCUGGUUUUUAGUUUCUAUCUGCAAUCUCUAGCCUAGAAAAUCAUGAGAGAUGCACACCCAAACCACCAGAAAUCAAGAGGGAGCCUUUGAAAGAGAGAGGUUUUCCAGAACAAGCUUUCUCGUUGUGAAAGGCUGAAACUAUUGCUCUCAUGUGAUUUAUAGUGCAAAAGUGUUCAGUCUUGUACAGCACCUGCAAUCCUCAGCAAUAAUUCAAGAACAGAGCAGCCUGUUGUUGAUACAGGGUAUCACUGGAGAAUAUAUAGAAUGCCUGCACGUGCUUUUCACACAGUUGAAAUCACCCUGAAUGUGCUACUAAUGUGUGUAAAUAUAUUUGCUAUUGUUGGCAUAAUCCACAAGCCCCAAAUGAAUGUGGCUACAGCAGAACCCUCUGGCUGCUCCAUCAAUUACUGCUCCUUUUCCAGCCGUGACCUGUACCUGCUCACAUCUUCCUAGAAACGAUGAAUGAUGAGAAUGAUUUAAUUUAUAGUUUCACCAUAAAUUAAGGCUUGUGUUACAAGUACGUAAUCUUUAGCAUUGUAAAGAAGCUACUAAUACAGUGAGACUCCUUACAAGACAGAGAGAAACAGUGUUUGCUACUGAGAGCCUGCAGCACUGCUCCCUGCAACGCUGGGGCUGAAGACUUCUGUUCCACCUUUGGACCUGGGCAGCACAGGGAAUCUCUUGGUAUCCAUCACCUGUUUUUUGGCUCUUUCUUUUUAUGCCUGUUCUUCUCUGCUGCUAAAUGAGGAAAUUCAUUUCACCCCAGACACGGCCACACCGCAGUCCUGAGGCAAUGAACCUGAUGCGAUGCUGGUAGAGGCCACGGAAGGUUUGGGAUUAGAUAUAUGUUUUCCUUACAAUAUAGUGUAGUAUCUAAGCAUCACUGGUAAAUGCCCCACGCUGUUGCGAGGAUUCAGCACCCCAGGCCCUGGGAGAUGCCCUGGAGCCAGCCCAGGGCUCAGGCUGCUGGUUCUGCUGUGCUGCCCAGCCCAGGUCCUCAGGGACAUCCUCCAGAGCCAAACCACGGAGCUGGAGGAAUGUACGCAAGGGAGAAAUGGCAAAACAGUAGUGCAUUUCAGGGCAGCUCCCAACUGAGGCACGCUGCAAAUACAAUCGUGACCCAGGCAAUUCUACCAGCAUGGGUGGCUGGGACAAGCGUUCGGUCUCAUUUUUUUCUAUCACCAAAAGAAGGCAUAGAGCUCUGCGCAGAAUAAUACUAAGGGUUGAUUGAUUGCAGAUUAAAAGCCUGAGUAAAAGCUUAGUGACGUCAAUGGAAAGAUUCUCAUAGGCUUGAGCCAGCCCCAAGACACUGUUAGACCGAUGGAAUGAGAUUUUCUUUUUUUAAAUGCAAUUGUUAUAAUGUAAAAGCUUCUGUUGGACAGAAAUAUCUCAUAGAAACAGAAUUAAAAAGCGGCCUCGAACAAAAGAACAGAUUUAGCCACCCAAGACUGCCAUUUCAUCAUGGAUUACUGUUUAUGUACUAUGAUGUUCCACAAUCAUGUGCUUUAUAUGGAGGAAAAGCUCAGGUGCACCGGCAGAGAGUUAACACCAUGAACUGGGUGCUUCCCGUGUCAGCCAGAAAAGACCUCUCCCAUACAGUAAAUGAAAUGGGUUUUUUUUACAAGGUUUUUCUAUGCCUCGAAGGAUCUGUGUGCUAUUGGGGAGAUCUUUACCAGCCUAGAGUGAUUCAGCCUCACUGCUCAUAGGAACGUGUCAUACUUGGCACAGGUGUGCAGGUGUCAUUGACAGCAUAGCCAGGACCCUGGCCCCUCUUGCCUGUAAUGUGUAUUAUCCGUAAGAAAAACACAUACAAGUAUAUCCAAUUUUAUAUCACAGGUUAUUGUCCUCUUUCAAAGCUAAGGAAUUUUCAUGAAGUGUGUAUACAUCUGGUAUCAGAUCAAUUCAAGCUUACAAUAAAAAAUUAUUUAUAGCUCUGCAUUGACAUUUGUUUAUUGUAUAGAUGAUAUCACCACACCAGACAGUUGCUUUAACUCAACAUUUCUCACUUUUAUUGCAUUUGUGAUCCCGUAUAUGGCCACAGAACAAAUCAUUAAAGAGGAUUGUGUGAAGGAUAAUGAGUACCAUAAUACUUCUAAGCCUCACAUUUACUCUUUAGCUGGACUCAAAUUCUUUUGAUCUGUUGAGCAAAGUUGCAAGAAACAGAAUAUAAUGGAUGUUGAAUGACACAUUUCUUGUAAUCUCAGAUUUUCCAAACCCCUCUGGUGUACCUGUGUUCCCCUUUCCCUCGCUAAUGAACUCUGACACUGAAACAGAUGUUGCCCUGUAAAUUCUCAUACAUUAUUUCCCAGCAACACUGCUGCUCCAAAUUCAUUCGCUCUGAGGCAAAUGCUCAGAUACGCUGACCCCUUUGUCAAGUGUCUUCUCUUCUCCUCCCCUCGCUGUUUGCCAGAUCAUGGUGGACUCUGUCCCGUUCAUCUUCUGUCCCGUUGCAUCAAGCAACAGUGACACAGGGACGGCGGUUUUCCCUGCAGGGAGGUGCCCUCUGUGUUGCUCUGUCACUGCACGAGCAAAAAGCCAGUGCACCUCCCAUCCCGCUGCUGUGGCUGAAGCGUUGUUUUAUAUGACUUUACAGUUUUGCUUGUAAAACACCUUAUUUUGCAUCGCUGCAGAAAGCAGCCUUUCUACCAAGGGACUCAUUCUAGCCAGUUUUUCUUUCUGUGUUCUGAAUUUCAUGGGAAAGAGAGGUUUGCUUUGUGCUAAGUAGGAAAUGGAUUGCACUGACUCUGAAAUGUUUAUACAAGGGGUUUCACGGGCCUGAUCUCACACUCAGGCUUCCUCCAAGUUUGGCAUGAAGAACAUUUGUAAUUAAGGCAGCAGCACUGUGCCACAAAACCAUUUUCUGCCUCAGAACGGCAGAUCCGCCCAUGGAGUCGGAGGGACGAGCCUGUGGUUGUGUGUGGCUGCACAGACUCAGCCGGGGGGGGCUCUGUUUCUCAUUCAGUCCAUUCAAAUUUCUGAGAAAAGGCCCAUUGGCCAAAUCAGAACCGUUUCAUCUUUAUUUUUUAAAUGAAAAUGGGUAACGCCUGUUCUUCUCCCCAAUCUUCACAUUUCUUUUCAUUUUCCUUCUGCUGCUCUCUACAUUUGCAGAACUUCCUCGUUUUUAUGAUGUCUUGAAAACUCUGGGUAACAAAGGGAAAAGUGAAAAAGUAGGGAAAAGUGCUACCCUGUGGCUGCAGCUUAGUUUGUUACAUUUGGCAGCAAAGCAGCUCAAAGCUGAACCAUCACAACGUUGAAACACUUCCAAAAUCUUCCACAAAUUGUGAAAAAACGUAAAAAUGUUCACCUCUGAUUCUGCAAAAUGAAAUUUUCUAUUGAUUUUGGUUACUUUUUAUUUCACUCCUGUUUCUUAUUGCAUUCAUUAAGAGUCAUAACUGCCGGGCUUCAAACUGUCCCUCCUGGUGUGGGCUGCAAGAGACAGGUUCGAAGAAUCCCUGUGGGUUUGGAAGCUCGUUGUGAGCUGGGAGGAGAGACGUGGCUGUGUGUCUCUCUGCCAUGGGAUAGGCCUCGGUGACCAACUCUGGUGGUUUCUCAGGAAAAAGCAUGAGUUCAGAGGGAAUCCUUAGAGGUGGCCUGCCUCUUCCCCCUUGACUAGCUCAGAGUUGAAGUCCCUGCACCGCAUUAGGUGGCUUUUGGCAGUGCUGGAUUGUUGUUACCACCCACUGGACAGGGGCGUCCACCUUCUGGAGCCCAGGGCAGGACGUGUGCCUGUCAAAAGCAUCUCUGGAUGUGUACAGCUGAGGGGCUUUCCUCGGAGGGUCUUCUGGAUUCACAGUCAUCUACCUCUAAGCACUGAAAAUCCAAGCCCCAAAUUCUUCACCUUCCUAAAACCAAUGAGAGUUUUACCUGCCUAAAGGUUUGCCAUACAAACUGAACCAGCACUUCAGGGUCUGCUGCUCUGGUAUCUUUGCAUUGCGUCUUGGCUGCAGCUGACAUAUUCUCUAGGGAUACCUUCAGAGCCCAGCUUUUGCUGUGUUUGGCUGCUGGCUGCUAGCUUUCCAGGCUAAGAUCAUAUGUGAUUUGGCUUAGGGACACGUCACAUGCAGCUUUACGUCACAAAUGGCAGUUUGCCAAUGGAGGUAUAAUUAACAGACAGGAAAAAAAAUCCAAACAAUAUCUUCAAGUAGCCUCAAGCCAAGUUGCGGGUAGAAUAUUAAAUAGAAGAGUGUAUAGAGAGAGGUAAAUCUGUGGCUGGGGAAUGGCUCCAGACAACCUGAGGGGAGAUUUGGAGGGCUCAUUAGCUUGUGAAGUCAAGAUCCAAACUUUGGCUUUGUUAGGCUGUUCAAGCCCCCGGUGUAUUUUCUGGGCUUACACAAUUUAGACUCAACCCGAUUGCUCCUGUACCCACUCACCUUGAGAAAAAGAGCAAAUGGCAGUUGCUCAGUUGAGGCCCCUCAGUGGUAGCUGACACCCCAUUCUGCCCUCAGGAUUAAUAGGGUAGCUGCAUACAUAAGAUGCUCUUUGGGGAUCUGGGACAUCUGAGUUCAUUUAUCAGCUUUGCUAUGGUUUCUAUGGAGUCUGGCUUCUCUGUCUCUCAGUCUCUAGUCUGCAAAGCGGGGAUAAUAACAAUUCCAUCUCCAUGCCUUGUUUUACUGAAUGUAAUAACUUUAAAGAAUAGAGGAACUUCCCUUGCAAAAUAGGCUGUCAGAUCUCCGUGCCACUGAGGACUAAGAAACAUGAUAAAAUUCAACAGGCACCGUGGAAAAUUGCAUAUCAAUCAGACAAGGGAAAGUAGUGUGGGAUUCAGGGCAGGACAUGGACAGAAUGGAACACCGGGUAAUAAUAAUCAUUUAUAGACAUAAAAAGUCUCAGGAUCAUAGAAAAAUAGAUGGGAAGGGACCCCAACAAUCCCCCAUCCUUUUCCACUUCUCCACUUUUUUUCCAUUCCCUAUGGAUAUUUGUCCAACCUGCUCUGAGAGAAGUCCUCUUCUCCUACCGUAGGUCGUGCUUGACAUCUGGUUGCUGCAAAGACUAACACAAAAAUGUAUGAGAAAUUUAAUCGUGUUCCAAGAGCUGCAUCCCCGUUGAGCUGUGAACCCAGGCUUCCUUUGGCCUUUUUUGUGUGACAGUAUCUGUCGAACAACUUCUUCAAGAUGUCUCCUGGCAGCUUCUACCGGAUGCAUGCCAUUAUCUACUGUGCUGUCUCCUUGGGAAGGACCUCCACAUCCAACAGGUCAUGCAUUCUGUCAGCCAUAUCAGCUUGCCUAAGAAAGAUCCUGCCACUCCAUGUGAACUUGCUCUCCUGAAUGCUGUAAACCACCAGCACUCACAAAGGCACAAAUGUCAUGCACCUUUCUGAGAUGUUCCUGUCCAGCUCCAGGUUUCCCUCUCUCUUUCAGUCUUCAUGCUUCCUUCACACAACAAGGUUUUCACUUUCUUUCUGUUUCCCUUUAGUGCCACUCUUUUAGCCAAGUUAUUCUUCACCCUCCCAUCUUCUCCUAACUGACACAUCUGUUCACAUGCUCAAACUAUCACUUCUUUGAGGAAAUGCCAGUUCUCCCUCACUUCUUUUCUUUCUUCUCUACCAUGGAAUCUGUCAAGAGUAGUUUUCUCCAUUCAUUUAUCCUCAGAUACGCAGUCCUUGAUGAGAAGCUCGGCGUAGGUCCCAGGGGCAUACUUUGUUAUUAUUAUUUUCAUAAAGAACAACAACAACAACAAAAAUAUCCAGACACAAGUUAAAAAUUGUAAAUCUUUCGCUUGUCUUUAUCGGAGAUUCCAUAUAGACUGGGGAAAUCUUCAGCCUGAGCCUUGGAGAUGAACAAAUAAAAAAAUCAAAUACAAAUUCAAUAAAUAAUAUAAUGAGCUCUUCAAACCUUCUGGAAAAGUUUAAUAAAUCCGAGAUACUUAGACACAUGUUUACCAUAUAACUAUUUGUAGGAACAUGGUACGUAUCAAAAAGUAAAAUGUACUUGCAUUCCUGUAGAGACAUAUUCUAAGGUGUGAGAAGAUUGUCCCAGUCAACAAAUGUCCUUCGCUUUCAAAGGCUGAACUAUUUUCUCAUAUAAAUAAAAGGACAAGCCAAUAAGUGAUGGUUAUUUCAGUGGAGAAAAGUAACAGCUAAUCCUGGAGUUGAUUUUUCAUCUCAGACUGCAUUUGACAGCUUUGAAUUCAUCCUAAUUGUGAAAAAACACAAGAUGGUUAAAACAUCCUGUGUAAACAAGAAUGAAGACAUUGAUUGAAAUAAGCUUUUGGAAAGAGGCUGUUGUUUGUAACACAAAGAAAUAGAAGAUUAUAUCCCAAAAGAAAAGUGUUCAAUGUUAUUAAAAUUAUAUUUCCAAUUUCUUUCCUUCCGUUGAUUUUUUUUUUAAUUGGAGGGCCAAAAUAUCCUCAGGACAGCGAGCUGCAGUCAGCAUUUUGCAAGAAGAAUCUUUCCAUUGGAAGACUUCCAACCAGGUCUCCAUUUCAGUUCUGCAGAACAUAUAAUUGAUUUUUCCAUAUAGUUAUAGUCUAUUAGAUGCAUUUAAAUCUUUACAUUGCUGCCUGUUUGAUGUGGGCGACGUAUUUUAUCCACUGUAAAUGGUAAUUUCUUCUUUCCAGUUUUCUAGGUGGAAUUCUGCAGUUACUAUUCACAAGCUAAGGUCCAGACUUUGGUGUUGGAAUUCUUGCUCUUUCACUGUGGCAUAACCUACCUAUGCUUGCAGCCACACAACUGUUGGGGUGACAGCAUGCACACAAACAGCUAUUCUGUAUGAGAACACCAGGCAUAGCAACACUCUUGCUCAUCUAUACGAACAAGUGAACUGACACCACAUUCAGUUUUUCACUAAAGCAAUUGUAUCUAGAAAUUAUGUGUCUGCUCUACUGUGAACCUCCCUUCAUACACACAAUGAAAAAUCCCAAAUCUUUCUGAGGUUCUAAAAAGGAUUAAAAAAAAACCCUCUUUCUUCCAGUUCAUUGUUGGAUAUGUUAACCAGGAUCAGAGAUGUUCCCAUGAAGUUAAAAACGGGAACUGAAGACUGAAGAGCUACAGCUGUUUCAAGGCUGGUCACCUCUCAAAAAAACAAACCUUUGGAGGAUGUGCAUGUGGAGGUAGCUUCCGCUGCCCAAAGCAUCCCUGCUCCACCAGCAGCAUCCCAUGUGGUGUGGACUCAACUUUGGAGGGGCUUUCCCAAAAGUGUCAUCUACUUGGAGCCAAGUGGUAGCCCUGCAGCACAGACAAAACCCCUCCGCCAUGCCCUGCCCUGACUGCCCGCAGCCUCCUGAGCCCAUUCAGAGAAUCACAGAAUCACAGAAAGGGACUCUAUGAAGGGCCCUGAAACUGAUCAUUGAGCUCCAGCCCCCUGCGGUGGGCAGGGCUGUCACCCACCAGAUCAGGCUGCACAGGGCCACAUCCAGCCUGGCUUUGAGCACCUCCAGUGAUAGGGCAUUCCCUCCUUCCUUUCAGGACAUGACCGGGUCUGGUGACCAAAUCACUUCCCACACAGGGAAGCACUAGUGGAGCUAGAUCCAGCUCUCCUAAUUAUCACACAGAGCCUGUAGACUGUUAACAGCAGCCCACAUUAGCAUGGAGCCAAGUCCUUAGUGUGCUGUGAUAAUAACAGUGUUUAAUAGAAUUAGGGGAAGUAUAUAAUCAGAAUAAGACUGCUGUGUGUACACAAAGGCAAGAUUAAUACACAACCAGUGAGCCAGGGCUAAGUCGAUAAAGUGGAAUUCACUGGGAGCCAGGAUAGCAGACAGGUAAACAUUAAUCUCUGUGUGUGAUGUGGAGUUUAGAGAUCAGAUGUUACUUGAAACCCGUGCAGAUGCAUGGGGUAUAUGGAGGGCACCACAGCCUCUGUUACCUUACACUCCUCAUGUGGAGCAGGAAGAGCUGCAUUCUUUGUGAUUAACCCAGCUUGAACUUUGAAAUGUGACUCCCAAAUAUUUGCGAGAAUACUGCAACUAAGACAAAGGAGUGGGGCUUUAAAGACCCUGUGGUUCUACAGUGUGCAGCUAGCUUCCUGCGGGGCUUAGGGCAAGUCCCUGCACCUCCCGGGACCUCAAUUGCCCAUGAAUUUCCUCCAAAUAGAUUUCCUUUGCACAUCUUAUUUCCAUGGGGAAUUAGUAUGGAAGUUUCAGAAGGGAAACACAAGAAGGCUAAACGAGAAACUUCAACACCCAAACUAAAACUGUGGGGGAGUUUUUCUUAUUUCAAGGAAGAAGAGCACAGUUGGUCACAAAGCCAGCAAACAUUUCCAGCUUCGAAAGAGGUCUGUGCCUAAAUACCUGGGUACUUCUCUGUUACUGAUCACAUACCCACACAUACCAGUAUUUCACCACAUUUAAUUGGCUGAUCAGCCACCUGAAGGUGCCAGAAGGCAUCAUCUUUCCAGGGAUCGCUGAUGGAUAGUUGUAAAUUUCUUAGGUCAAGAAAGAAAGUUUUGUAUUCUGGGGGCUUUAAUACAGACAUAUUGCCCAGCUUUGGCUGGCCAUUAAAUUAAUCCCUUUCUUUCCAGAAGCAAUCACAAAGGAUCCCAAAUGAUAAGCUGAGGAGAGCCCCAGGGAUUCCAUCACCCCUGGAUGCAGUGUGCCCACAUUUAGAGCAGGAGUAGGGAAGGUCUCAGCUCCUGCAGCCCAGGACACCGUACUUCAAUGAGCCCCAGCCAGCACAACCUACUUAUUUUACCCUUGUGAAAGUGCUUUAACUUCAGAAUAAAAUAUUGUUUUACCCUCUGCCCUGCUGCUCUGUGUAACUCCAGUGUCAGCUUCCAAAACUAUAACAAACCUCCUAAACAAACACAUUUUAAGCUCUGCUUCCAAACCAGGCUGGGUAAGGAGCAAGCAAGCUGAAUUAGAUGCAGGAGCCGAUUCAUCACCCCUUCCUCUGCCUCCUGGUCCCCCUGCCAUUUUGGGCAUUCCCAGCUGUGUCACCUGCAUGACAAACAGGGCUGAAGGAGUUGUUUUCGCAAGGUGCCAGUGGCCAGUCAGCCUCUUUGCAAGGUGAGGGCGAGCUGCCAGCUGUCUCCUCAAGGAGCACAGCCCUGGAAGCCAGCAGAGCAGGAGGAGAGGGAGGGUAUGGAAACUUCCCAGGGGAGGAUUGUUGCAGAGACUGAACAGGCUCUGCUCUAUCCAAGCACAAGGAAAUGUAUUAAUGUCAGGCCCAAGUGCCCUGCUUUGUCUCAUGACAGCACCUUCGCAAACAUCUCAAACAUUUGUUUUCUUUUGUGCAGCCUCACAUGCCACCACCCAGCACCAACAAAUAGAAGCUCCAUACUUUUUAAGCACAGCCUUAUGAGGAAAUACUGUUACAAUGAGCCGCAGCUCUGUCCUGGCAUGGCGAUAAAAAUGCUGGCAGAGAUGGGAGGCAGAGCAUGUGCAGAGCAGCAGCUGCAAGAAGAGGGGCCUGCGGCAACUGCAAUGGCUCCCAGGAGCCAGUGGGGAGAAUGGGCCAUACAGAGAAAUCCAGGAGACCUCUUAGGAAGGACUUGCUAUGGGGUUAGUUAAAGCUGUUUUACGACUCUCUGGACUGGGAAAGAAACAAGCAAGUCCUGUUUUUCUGAGGUACAGUGAACUGUGUCACUGCUGUAGCACCAGAAGGAGCUGCCGCCCUGCAAGAAGGCCUGUCCAGUGGGCAGGGGUCUUGCAAAGCUCCAUGAAAUGUGGGGCUGGCAGUCUGGGCCCCUGGGUGCGCAGCUGUUCUGCUCAGUGCCCAGCUCAUAGCAGAGGGCCGCCCUGGGCCGAGCCACCAAGGCCCGCUCUCCUGGAGACCCCCCGCUGCCCCAGGCCUCUCACGGCUGCAGGCUUGGCAGCUGGCACCAGCUGGCUCCACCACACAGAUCGUUCUCUAAAUAUUAUGCUUUUUGGGGUGUUGGUUUUAGCUGUUGUAAUUGGCAGCUUUCCUUCACUGCCUGUAGGAGCAAUGAGUUACUGAUGGGAGGAAAAAUUUGAGGACAUUAGCAGCUUAUUCCAACCCCUAUUUGCCUCCUGCGUAACACAUGCCACCCCAUUACUACCAUGCCCAAAAAUGGAUGAGUAUUGGUGCUCAAGACAGAAUAUGCCUGUUUUUGCCAUGCAGAAUUUUUUCAGAAUUAGAUUUUCUCUCCUUUCUGUAUUAUUAUUAUUAUUAUUUUAUUAAUUUUCAACAGCUCCUUGAUAGAAUGAGUUGUGGGGCAGGUCAAGAAGUUCAGAUCUUCAGCUGUCCACAUUACAUUGUCUUCUUAACACCACAGGCUGGCAUUUUGAAAUUCCCUUUUAAAUGCCACAGAAGUAUCUUCAAUCUCAUCAGAGUUUGGAUCCUGCGUGCUGUGGGUCUGUAAGGAUCUCAGUGGAUAUACUGCCUGCCCCUUGGAGAACUUCUGAAAAAGUUGAUCCUAUGUCUGCAGCUACUUUUAGUUUUUCAGUCACACAAAUACCCGGUUAGAAGAAAGAGAGCUGGAGGAUGGUAGGAAGAGAGGGAGAGGCAAGAUUUAUCUCUUCUUCCUAAACACUGGCUGUUACCACAGCUUUGUGACUGAUGGCAGAGAUGUGCAAGUCCACUGCCCUAUUCUGAGCAAAACACACAUAAGUGGAAAUAAAUACAUAAAUAUUCAGCUGAGGCAUCAGACGCUUACCAAGGCCACCUAGGAGCUGGCUCACUAUUCUGGCCCCCAUCUUUCUGUUCUUCAUUUGUGCAUGUCUUACACCACAGGGUGCACAGCUCCGAGGGGGACCAGGACCUACCGCUGUUGUGCCAACAGCAGCAGGGGGCCGACUGCUGCAUGCAUAGCUCUGAGUCUCCUCCAGGAACUGCCAGGAAGCUCCUCAGGGUGGGAUGUGUAGGGGAGGAAAGCUCUUUGGCAGGGCUGAUUUCUCAACACAGUGAAGGGUUGUAUCUUGCUUAAUGCUAGUUGUUGGAACUGAUUAGUAACAGUCCUUCUCUAGUAUUCCUAUUCCUGUUAUAGCAAGUGCAGAAGACUGGGCACUUCUGAAGAUGAUUUGCACUCUUCUCACCUCUCAGGAGAGGUUGAUGAUUCCUUGAGUCCUCUCUCUAUCUCUUUCCUAUUGGAGGCAGCCUGGGCCAUCAACAGUGGAUCUUCAUGACCUGGAGCCUCCUGGGAGGUGGAAGGAAUCUGGUUCAGAGGGGCUUUGAGGGCUUCAGUCCAGUUUGCCAAAGACAGGAAGGGCAGCACCCAGCCCUCCUCCCUUAGUUUGUUCUACAGACCUUGGCUUGCCUUCUGGGAGCUCCUACUGUAGCCAAAAACAAUAGCACCUCUGGAGCUGAGCCACAAAGACAUUCAGCUCCCUUUUUUAUGCUGUAGCUGCCUCCUAAGCACCAUUUGAGUAUCCAGUUGAGAUGAGCACUUCUUGUACUGCAUGCAAUAUAUACAAGUUUCAGGAUAAUUUCUGUCUCCGGGAAUUCAGUCUAAAUUAAGACAGGAUUGCAGUGAGAGAUGUCACGAGAACUGGCAACAGGGAAGAAGGAGGAUGGGAAAUAGGAGCCUUGCUACAAUCUCAUCCUUCUUUUAGCACACCCCACAUCUCUCCUGUUUAUCUCUGUCAGUAUCUGGUGCUUACAUUGCAUCUCUAGAUACGUGAUGCAUCAGCUUCACAUGUGGUAUUAAUAAGCAGUGGGUAUCUGCACAGGAUGGUUGCAAAGAGCAUCUGACUGAUUGCAUUACAGAAGGAUGCCUGGAACUGGAGUUGCUUUCCCAGAUGAAUACAGGACAGAUCUGAGAACUUUUUUCUUCAUUCCUUCUCAUCACAUACGUAUUUUCAUGGCUAACAGUCUGGACAAGCAGAACAUCACGAUGUCAACCAAGGGAAGAUGUAAAUCUCUUUAAGUAAUUUUUAAUGAAAAAAAAUAUUGAGUUACUCUGAGUGCCAUAGUUUCUGGGUGGCUGGUUUUAACUUUAGCAAUCCAUACUUAAAGGGAAAUUUUACAGUCUUAAUACAUUCCAGAUGUUCUCCUACUCCCAGAUGAAAGCUCUGUCAUCGUUUACUGUUAAUAUUUUUGUCAGCAGUAGAAUUUUAUUGUAAUACCCCAUCUUAUUUGUAGGCACUAUUAGUCAUGAGAGAAACUUCUUCCAAAAGUAAUCCUUGGGUCACUACUUGAGUGCUUUGUCUCACUCCAUUUAAUUAAAAACCAUUAACUGUUUGUUGUGUCCAAGGCUUGUCUGUAUAAUGCGUACAUACAAUGACUUUUUACCUGAUGAAAGCCAUUUGCCUUGAACAGUUAGACUAAAAAAAAUAUAGUUAUAUUCUACAGUAACAAUAGUUGGCUUUGUAACAGCUCUCCGGUGGAACAAAAACAAGAGAUUUGCUUUGAAAAUAAACCUCCAUGAACUUGGAUCGACAACAAGGGACACAAAGGUUUACUGCAAAAACAAGAAAUGCAUUUCAUGCUGUUAAGCUUUGAUCAUAUGUUAGUUUCUCACAUGGAGAACAGUAUUUAAACAUGGCAAUUUUGAUCCUUUGUAGUGACCGAUGGUGUGAUUACAGAGGGAAGGGGAGAUGGGGGAGCACAGCAGAGCAGAUUAUCAAAGCACAAGUCCUCUGGUUGGACCUCUGAGGAUUCUCCUUGUUCAGUGAAGAGCAACUACUUGAGUCAAAAAGCUGGCACUUCACAACAGUGUCUAUAUAAUAUUCAGUUAGUAAACAAGUUGGAAGAUGCUGUUAUUUUUUUUUUUCACAGUUAUCUCUGAAGAUCCAAGCUGGAUUUUGAAAAAGGAGCCCUCAUUUUUCCUGUUCUUGCCUCAUCACUUUUCUCUUAGGGCUCUGGAGCUGCUGACAGGAGCUGAGAGGAGACACGGGGACACAUACGCUCCAAAUGGGUUGGCCAGCUGUUGGGACAGCUCUUCAACACCAGCCCCAGGGUUCUGCUUUCUGGGAAAUAUAGAUAGAUAGAUAGAUAGAUAGAUAGAUAGAUAGAUAGAUAGAUAGAUAGAUAUGAAGUCUUCUCUGGCUAUAGUGGUGGUAGAGACUAGGUUUGCUGUGUCCUAAGAUGAUGCAUAGAGUUUUGCCAAGGGUGAAGCAUGCCUUUAAUCCUGGGCUGUGUUAUCAAUAUGAAUGUAAUAGGCUAUGAACAGCACUAACAGUGACAUCUCCAACAUGAGACAUUCUCAUGCUGGAUUCUAGGAGGGAAAUGUUUUGCAGCAUGAUAAGACUCUGGACAACCAUGCUGAAACAAACAAAAAGAAAAGUGCCAUGUCAAACAAGGCUUGACCAAAUGGCUCUAAUUGGGCUGGAACUCUGCCCUUAGUGUCUUGUGCUUCUAGUUUUGGUGCUGGGACACACAUGCUACUGUGAAGACCCAGGAAUAUGAGUAGAAACAUGACACUAGGAAUCAAGAUCUUUUCCAAAGUCCUUGUUUGUACUAUCUGAAUAAAUUUGAGCAAGUACAGAUUCCUAAAGCAAUGUGAAGGUAUGUAAUAAAAGCCCUAGGCCUCUUGUCUUCAGGUGCCUCAUUUUCCUGUGCAGCCUGUUGGCACCUUAGAGUGUAAGCAAAGAUUUGUUCCCCUUUUCAAAAGUCUUCUUUUAAGUUUACAAAUAGGCUUAGAGCAAGACUUAAAAUGUGAGUUAAAAAGAUAUUAGAGAGAUAAUUAUUAUCCAGAGGCAGCAUUCAGAUUACAGCAAUAAUGAGAUAAAAGUUUCUUAGGUUUCUUCUGUCCUGCAUCUGCAGCUGUGGUCAUGUCUUCGGGAGGUGGUUAGAAGAAAAGCAUUUUAGCUGAGCUCUUCACUGCAUGAAGCUAUUCAGAAGAACAUAAUGGAGUCGCAACAAAAGAAUGGAAGAGGGGAAUACUCUGUUCUGCAGCUUUGGAGUGUGCGUAAUGAGCCUUCAUACCAGAGAGGCUUGAAGAGGUCACAGCUCAUCUGAAUGUCACUGAGACACUAAUGUACUGUUUAUGAAACUUCUUUUGUAGAGCAGUACUGUACACUGCUAGUAGUAUCGGUGAGUCACACUAAGUAUGGAGAGUAAAACUCUAUCUGUUCAUGGUAGGCUACUGGGUGAAUUUCAGAAAGAAAGCAACAGCCCCUACUAAGAGGGCUGGGCCUUAUACAUGCUUCCCUUUCACUUUGGCACCAUCAUUGUCUUUCAGAUGUUGUUUUCCCAUGUGAGCUCAGAAUCUACUGCAACAUCUGCACAGUGAUGACUGACAACACAGAAUAAACACAACUGCAAUUUCUGGAGGCAACCUGCACUCUUUCCUGAUGUUUGUGGUAAGACGGCCAUUGGAAAGCAUCAUCUCUGGCUACGUGGAAACUGCACAUCAGUGAUUGCUGCUCAUAUCUGGCACUGAAGCGGUUGGUGCCACAGCCUGCAUGUUUAGUUGGAUGCAAGGCACAAAUGGGAAACAAUGCUUUCAGGGGCCAACAGAGGCACGGCAUUUCCCUUAGAGACAAAGCAUUUUCCUCUCAGGCAUACAUUUCUUCUACCCUUCAAUAAAUAGUUCAGGUCUUCUUGUUUAAGAUAGUAGUUAUAGACUGGUUUUAGUACUUUUUUUUUUCCCUAAUCAAUUAAUAAAACUCACUGUGUGUAGAGCUCUAUCUAUUUAGACAAGGAAAAUGUUCCUUCUAUUCCUGCGUGUGAAGAAGAAAAGUACCUGAUAAACUUAAUGCAUUUCAACAAAUUCAAGAGUAUGACUGAAAGCAGAGCUUAGACUCCUUCCUAGUGCGAUUAUUCUUAAUCAUGCGUGACCAGCUUGGUAAUUCAUUUCAACCCUUCUGUCUACAGUUUUUUUUUUAAUGAAAGUGAUUAAAUUGAUUAAUGGAAUUUUGUUUGCUGAAAUAAAAAUGCAAAAUCAGGUAUUCAAAAGCUAUUAUAUACCUGGAAAGGUACUGCUUUUCAUCUUUUUCUUUUGCCAUAAUACUUCUAAAAUAAGAAACAAAGACAUGACCAAAUAAUGUGCUGACCAUUUUUAGUCUAUGUUCCUUCUAUGUUGUGUGAAACACCACAGACCACAACCAUCUCCUCAAGAACCUCUCCUUAGUACCUGCAGUAAGCCUA